CUGGAAGAUGAGAAGAAAUGCACGUCCCUUCUCUUCAGCCCCAGAAAAACCCACUUUUUAAACUCGCAUCAUCCCCUGCUGCCCUGCGCCCACCGUCCCUGCAGCGCGGGGGCAGCCCGGGCAGAGACGCCAAACGUGGGUGAUCGCUGGUGAGGGAGGAAAGGAAACACUGGAGCAAGGCGCUCCACCCCUCUAUCGUCUCUCCAGGGGAAAUGUCUGUAUCUGUCUUAGAGACAACCCUGCAGAAGAUCUGACUGGAAAACAUGGGUAAAAGCUGAAAGAUUUAAAAAUCACAGAAUCAUUAAUGUUGGAAAAGUCCUUCAAGAUCAUCAAGUCCAGCCUUUGACCAAACACCACCACACCAAUCAAACCACAGCUCUAAAUGCCACAUCCAGCUGUUUCUUGAACACUUCAGGGUGACACAACCAUCAUCCUGGGAAGCCCCUUCCAUUUCUCAACAACCCUUUAGUGAAGAAAUUCCUCCUGAGAAUGAAGAUGCUGAAGCAGGAUUAAAAUGUGAGGCUGCAUCUUGACUUGGACUCACAUGGUUACAGCACACAGACACAGCAAUUCCCUUCAUCCAUGUUUAGGAAUACCAAAAUCUCAUUGCAUUUGAGUGCAGGAAUGGAUAAUGGUGAGGGAAACCUAAUCCAUGUGGAGCUGAGGUAUUUUUCUCCUAAGAUGUCUGUCUGCCCAGGGUCUGUUGUGGGCUGGUCCUCAGCCAAAGCUCAGUAUUUUGAUGCAAAACGUGUGCCAUGGGGCACCCCUGGGCUGAGCCCACACUGCUAUUUCUCAGUAACACUAUACCUCAUCAGCCUGUCACUGAAACCAAUUUUUUAUUUUUAAAUCUCCCAGCCAGGUAUCUGGUAUCCUCACCCUUAUCUGAUGGCUGCAUAUCAGCAUCCCUGGGCUGCCCAGGCACUUCUGCCUCCUCAAGCAUAAUUACAACCACUUUGCCACCUAAAAACAAAUCUUUCUGGGUGCUCUCCCGAGGCUUCCAGGGUUGCACCAGCCUGGGAAGCAUCAGGAGGUAACAAGAUGGGCAGAAUGUUAAAGAGCAGCAGCCCUAAACCCUCUCCAACACAUUCCCAGCUCCUGCUGUCUGCCCUCCCCAAGGAGGGUGGGUGAGCACCCAGCCCUGCCCUAGGCUCUCCAAAAGCAUUCAGGAGGAGUCCUGAUGGAGCUGCUGAGCUCCUGAAAGGUUCUCACGGCCCAGGGGACUCGAGCAGCCACUGUGCUGUGGCAGGGCUGGAAUAAUUUGCUCUCCUGUGCCAGCUCCUCCCUGCUUCUCCUUCCUCCUGGUGCCCAACACAGGAGCUGGGAGAGCUGCUCUGUAUGCAAUGGAUACAUCCCUAAAUCACCAUUUAAUCUGGGACAGCAGAGAUAACACUGGCAUCUCCAAAGAGAGUUCUGUGCACCAAUACCAAGCUGUAAGUCUGCCCCGAGCCUGCCAGCAGUUCCUGAGCCCCUGGAAUACCUUUGCAGAUCUUCACGACAAAGGCAUUUGACCUUUAAGGAGGUCUUCAACUACGGGUAGCGCAGCAGAUGCUCUUAUCACAUUGCACUAGAUACCCUGCCUAGUGCUACUACUCUUAAAAAUCCCUUCAAACUCCCCAGAAAAACCCCAAACAUGUGGCAACUGUGACUGGCUGCUAGUUGUUGUCCUUGGAUUUCACCACAGCCCAAAUGAGGCUGUUCCUGGUGGCUCACUUACCCUCCAGUAGCCAAUGUUCACUCCUACCUGAGGACCACUUUGGUUCUUAAAUAGGUCAUUUUUGCACCUUGCUUGCAGACAGGUGACCAAACCCUGUUUGCAUCCACUGCCCACCUCUCAGCCUUCUCCAGGUGCCACAAAAAUCCUUCAAGUUACUGCUGUGAAGGUCAGCCCGUGGGACAGCCACUGGCAGUGAUGUUCUGGGGGAACAAAAUAACCCCAAACCCCUAAAUUUUAUGUACGUUAAAAUUGAACAGAUUAAAGCUCCAGCAGCGUCCAGGACAUGAACUGCAUGUUGCACUCAGCAUGUGGCAUUGACAGCUACAGCUGACUGACCACUGCCACAAGAAAAAGGCCACUUUCCUCAAAGGACUACUCAGUUUCCCACUGAUUUGGUGACAAAAAGUACAGAGGAGGAAAGGGGUGAAAACAUCCUUUCUGCCUGUUCAUUUUCUCUGCGCCCACAAGGCUGAACUAAAUGAUAGCCCAGCCAUGUCACUGCACACAUCUUAGGCUACUUCUUCUCUCAGUCUUCUCUUGUGGUGUCCCUGCCUGACUCUUUCAAUGAUUUUAAGUUUUUGCAAGUACUUGGAGCCACCUCUCUCAUGCCACGUUUCAGUGCUCCCAUGGACUCUGGCAAUGGCUGAGUUGUUCGGGUGUGACUCCUUCAACAAUCUUCCAGCUCUGUGCAUUAAAGGAGUCAGCGCUUUUAACCCAUUUGUUUAACCAUCAGCCCAUCCAUUAACCCUUGCCUGGCAUUCUGCUACUUUUAAAUUGCUCUGUCCUACAGCUUGAAAAUACUUUCUGUGAGAAAAUAAAAAAAAAAAAAAGAAAAAACGUGGGAUGUCAUUUGAGAGCAGUGCUCCAUCCUAAGAGAAAGCAGAGUGUGCAGCCUUCCCUGAGAGGAGCCACUGCCUGUCAGGAGCUCGGGGCAGGACAGGAGAGAGGAAAAGCACUCCAGUGAUAAAUCCAUUUUCAUGUCCCCCAGCUGUUGUGCAUGCCCACAGCCCCACUGUUCCCCAGGCAGGGGCAGCAGCAAUUGCAUUUUAACCCUCAAUCAAGGUCCCUGGCAGCAGGAACUGGCAGUAAAACACUGAGACCGCUGCCCUAGGGAGGCUGGGAGCUGAGCCCUCCCUGCUACUGCCACGGUGAGGUGCCCCUUCCCAUCUUCCAACCCUUCAGUGCUUCUAUGGCUUCCCAAAAUAAAUAUGGAUAAAGGCAGCUCACCCCUCACCUCUGCUCAUCCCUGCUCCCUUUGUCCCACUGCAAUGGGAGAGGCCAGCACUGCUCCUCCUGGGCACAGCAGCUGACAGGACAGCUCUUCCCUGCUGUGGCGACAGGGGACAGCUCCUGUGGGGCUCAGAGAUGGUCCCUGUGCUCCUUGUCCGGACACACAGCUGUGCUGCACCCCCUCCCCAUGUCCCUGUCACCACAGGGGCUCUGCCCAGCAGCUGCUCUCCCUCUCCUCCGUUUUCAGCUUUGCAUGGAGUUUCCAGCAUCAGCAAGGAAACGCCAUGUUCCACCUCCCCCAAAUGUCCUGAUCUCCCCUCUUUUUGGAGGAAUGCCUUUGUUUCCCUGCAAUGGGGCUGCCUUGCUGGCAGCCUCAUCCCUGGCACCCUGUGCCCUCCUCCACGGGGCCCUCGGGAGCAGCCCAGCACUGAGCUCGCCUGGGGUUGAGCUUCAGCUUCAUUCUGUGCUUGAGCCUGUGUGGGCACCACCUGCACCCCUCCUUCCUCCCCUCAGCACCAGCACGAUGGGAACAGGCAGCACUGGUGGGCUUUGACCUGUCCCCGAGGUAAAUCCUCACAUUCACCAGCCUUGUCUCCCUGCACUCUCAGCUGUCUCUGUGCACUCUCAGAAGAACAGACUUCUGCCUGUUCCCACACUGGCUAAAGCAGCCAUGGAAGAGCACAGAAUCAGACUCAGUCAUGACUUCAGAGCUCAUCUAGUCCCAACACAUGACCAUGGGCAGGGACACCUCCCACCAGACCAGGUUCCUCAAGGCUUUUAUCCAACCCGGCCUUGGACACUGCCAGGGAUGGGGCAUUCACAGAUUCACUGGGAAACCCGUGCCAGGGUCUCGCCACUCUCACAGGGAAGAAUUACUCCCUAAUAUCCGAGUUAAAUUUCCUCCUUUUCAAUUUGUAACCAUUGCCCCGUUUCCUGUCACCACAGUUUCUGGCAGAAAAGUUCCUCUCCGGCUUCUCCGUAGCCCCUUCAGACACUGGAAGGUGCUCUGAGCUCCUCACACAACCUUCUCUUCUCCAGGAUGAACAGCCCCAACUUUCCCAGCCUGUCUCCACAGGGGGUGUGCUCCAGUCCUCCUUGUCGACUUCAUGGCCCUUCUCUGAACCUGCUCCAACAGUUCCUGGCCUUCCUAUGGACAAGUCCACCUUACAAGAAGCUUUCCUACCACACUCAUCUGCUGGUCCCACCAUGGCUCUCCGCUCUUGUUCCACGCAAAAUGGUUCUGACCUAGCUAAGCUCAGCUUUAAACACCCUCCUCCCUCCUGACCCCUGCACUAAGUACCACAUUUGAAACCCUUCUCAGGAUCAGGGCAGCAACCAAGCAUGAGUAUCCUCUUCCCUGUGGUCUUGGCUGAACCCCUGCAUCUUCCUUCUCUUUAUUAAUCAAUAAAUGUAUUCGUGGCCAGGAAAUCACCAGCUGUGAAAUCCCCAAGCCUUGCCCAUCUUUGACCCAAGAAUCAGCUCAACUUAGCCAAGCUGUGCUCAUUUAAGCCAAGCAUCAUCACUUUAAUACUACUUGGAAAGUCCUUCUUCUACAUAGCAAGGCAAGGAUUCAGGGUACUUUGUCUUUAGGAUCAACAAGUUCUCGGCCACACAAAUUCAGAAAGCUCUGGGAUUUCCUGCCAGUAGAUACUUCGCACUUUCCAGUGAUUUUUAUCUAAAUAUUUCACAUAGAGAUGCCAACAUCACUAGUUCUAAACUGCAACUACUGGUAGGACUUCUCCAAAAAAGCAAAGAUAAACUGCUCCCAAGUUAGGUAUCCAGAGGAAAGCUUUAAAAUCAAAUGCUGUUGAAUGUAUUUAUGGAAGGACUUAAUUAAGCUCAGAAACACACAACUAUUUAUUUCCUCAUUUAAGGAUCCCUUUUUGUCAAGCUCAAGGACAGUUCUCAGACCCACAGCUCAGCAGCAAAUGUUGCUCUUACUUUCUGAUUCCUUCUUAUCUGUAAUUCAACUUCAUACUAUUUUUCAAACACCUAUUUUUAUCUCUGGUAUUAUCCAUCUCCCAACAGUAUCAUUUUUCUCUCAGCCUGUAACUUAAUAAAAAUUCUUGCAACAAAUGCCACGUCUUUGGCCAUUUUUAUCUUAAACCUGGCUGCUACUACAAUUAGUAGCAACAAGCAGAUCAGAAUCACUUGCAGUAGGGCUCAGCUGUGGAGCUCAAGGGCCCCAAGACCAAGAUUCCUUGGAAAGUUCAACUCCAGACUCCAGUCUCCCCCCACCCUGCCCAACUCCUAAUGCUUGGAAACACCCAGAGAUCACAAAUGCUUCACUUGGCAUCAUGUGCUUCGUAACUGAAGAAGCAGAAAGCGCUUCUUAAGAAGUACAACUGACGAAAUAUUAACUUGUGCUUUUUUAAUACAGUGAAACAAAAGCAUUCUAAAUCAUAGCAGCUUAUAGAUCCAAACUGUCCAUCGCUUGGGAGCAGAGUGGGAUUAAGAAGUAUGGAAACUGCAAAAUAUUAAAGCCCUGCAGCAACUCCAGUUCAUGACAACCCUUCCCACAGCACGAAGAAUGCUGCCUGAUGCUCUACUGAUUUGGACUACUUGCUCAUUGGCAAAAUAUGAAUAUUCUUCCUUGGAAAUGCCAUAUCCUCUUUUCCAAAGGGGAGGAAAGGAACAAAGCCCUUCUGAUUAGCGCACAGUAGCUCUUUCCCUAAUUAGCAAUGUUCUUUUACAGCACUGAGAAAUGAGGACCUUUUGUUUACCAUUAGUUGAGGUAAGUGUAUCUUGCUUUUAUUUGGGUUUAAGACUACUUUAAAGGAGUAGCUUUUCAGUUGCAGCAUGGUUUGUCAAGAUUACAAUAUUUAUGACUGCAUAAAAUACAUAAGUAAAAAAAAUUUAUGAUUUGUAGAGUUUGUUAUCAAGAGCUGAGACUUACACCUUUACAGAACUGCAAAUACUGGCUUCCUAACUGCUAGUUGAUAAUUUCGCUGGCAAGAACAUUUCGUUACGCUUUUCUUUAAUCUCUACACCCUUCUGUCCAACUAGCAAGAAAGUCAGCUCUACCUGUGGAUAAACUGUUGUAACAGCACAGUUAGAUAAACUGUGCUGAUUCUUCAUUAAACACCCUUUGUUUGAAGCUACAACAUAAGAGGCAAUUCUUUUUGUUCAAAAGGAACUAUCUGCAUGCUCUGUGCCUGGAACACUUCACAUUGAUUACAAAAAUUUUAACAAUGCAACCACUAACAUACCCCACUAAUGAGAAAUUAUGAGAAACUGUUGGAUGCAGAACCUUCCGCAUCAGUCGACUCUGAUCGAUAAGAAAGCUAUCAAUUUUGAAAUUUAGAUUUAAUGCAUUUUCAAGAAGCUAAUGAGAAAGGAGCAACUUAAAAUAAAUACCAUCAUUAAAACUGCAAACUGUUACAAUGAUAUAUUAUAAACUUGUCCUAAAUAAACCUAGUGCUUCAAAAAUUUACCAGUGAAUUCGUAUUACAAAAUAUGUGAAAAUACAAUAGAAUACCACAAAACAACGUCCUUUUCUGGGGUCAACAAUGACACCAAGAUGAUUCAGUCUUAACUUUUAAAAUUGUUAAUAGAACAUAUUGUAAUAUAUAAGUUGCAAUUUGGUUGAAAUCUAGAGAACAUCCCCACCAAAACUCAAUCUUCUUCAUUCCUCCUCUAAAACUAGUGCCAAACUGCCUGUCAAAGUUGGUAUUUUCUUGAAGAGCUUUAAAAUUUAGCCAUUACUUAUUUUCUAGUACUACAUUUUGGCAGCAACUAUUUAUUGGUCUGUUAUUGCAAAAAGUGCAAUUUAACAAUAAACCAGUCUGAAGGUCAUUCUAUGUCUUGAGGAUACAUACCAUAUAUUUCUUUAAAAAUAAUCAUACUUUUGUAAGCAAUACUUUACAGUAGACACCUCAAAUCUACCAUAGAUGUAAAACUUAAAACGAGAAAAAUUUAGUCUCUAAAUCUUUAUACACAUAUUUAUAUUCGAGUUUCUAUAUAUAUUAUAUAUAUACACAAGCACAAGAGUAUAUAUAAAAUAUAUAUAAUCAGAUUCAAAAAAGAACAAAAACUGGGCACUGUACAUAAAAUCUUUUUAAAACUCAAACAAUAGAAAAACUUUAAACAUUAAACAAUUUUAAUAAAAGUUUCUGUACAAUGCUAAGCAGUUUUAUUUACAUAUAGAAAAUGUAAUAGGAGUAGUGUUUGAAAUUACAGAACUCCUUAAAAUUUCAAUGGCAGGUAAUCUGGAAAAAAUAACAGCAUUCCAUUCACAAAUAUUUUCAAGCAAUAAAUAUGUAUUUAUAAAUAGUGUAAAUUUACAUCAAGAUUAGAAACAAAAAUCACAAAUCUGAAGUUUAUUCCUUAGUCUAUGUGCAACCCAUUUAUCUUUGUGACUUGGCUGUUAAUUGUUUUAAAUUUUAUUCAGGAACCAAAAGUGUAACCGUCAUGGUUUCAAAACAAGACAGAAAAACAUAAAAGCAGUAAAAAAUUUAUAUCACCUAACUCUUCACAUUAAAAAAAAAAAAAAAAAAAGAAAGAAAAAAAAAAGUUGCCCAAAGAAAGACUUAAAAUUU